CUACGGGUGGCAGCAGUGGGGAAUCUUGGACAAUGGGCGCAAGCCUGAUCCAGCCAUGCCGCGUGAGUGAGGAAGGCCUUAGGGUCGUAAAGCUCUUUCGCCAGAGAUGAUAAUGACAGUAUCUGGUAAAGAAACCCCGGCUAACUCCGUGCCAGCAGCCGCGGAAUACGGAGGGGGUUAGCGUUGUUCGGAAUUACUGGGCGUAAAGCGCGCGUAGGCGGAUUAGUCAGUCAGAGGUGAAAUCCCAGGGCUCAACCCUGGAACUGCCUUUGAUACUGCUAGUCUUGAGUUCGAGAGAGGUGAGUGGAAUUCCGAGUGUAGAGGUGAAAUUCGUAGAUAUUCGGAGGAACACCAGUGGCGAAGGCGGCUCACUGGCUCGAUACUGACGCUGAGGUGCGAAAGUGUGGGGAGCAAACAGGAUUAGAUACCCCCGUAGUC
rnacentral:rRNA from 1 species